rnacentral:lncRNA from 1 species
ACUCUUCUACGAUAUCCUCCUUCAUCAUCUAGCUGCCUUCGAACCUCAGAAAUCGAGCACCCUUAAACAGUAAUAUCAACAGCCACAAAGAUGACACCGUAGAUCACAUCCCUCUCUGAUUCCGACACAUUCAUGGGUAAUUUUUAUCCACAUCUCCCUUCGAUUUUUUUUUAUAUGCUUAGAUUUGGGGGAAAAAAAAUGGAUGAAAAUUAUCUAAUGCAUGUGUGCUUCUGCGGCAGGAGUUGCAGAAUGCUGAUCCGACAUAGAAAAGAACGGUAGAUGUCUGGAGUUUAUCUGAAAAGGAAAGGUAUAGAACAUAGGUGCCUAACUCUUAUUUGCGCAUCAUGCAUGAUAAUGUUCUCCACAUGCUCAUAAAUCUCUAUCUGUGGGCCUGCAUGUACCCACUGAUGUAUAUUUGAGCCUAAAAGUGUGGAUAACAGAAACUGUAUCCUGCCUUGAUGACUCGUGUCCUCUGUGCUACUUAGAUCCCUCAACUUUGUUUCUUUCUGCACUCCGCACUGCCUAAUCUCAUGAAUGUAGAGGAAUUGAUGAUGAAUGUGCUGGGGGAAUAAAUGUUGAUUGCAUCCCCUUAGUUGGGAUUAGACCGAAUCAGUUCCGAAUGCAACCUGUAAUAAAAAAAACUAAUUAGAUAAAUAAAGAAAAAUAACAAGAAUUAAAAAUUGCAAUUUUUUUUUCUUUCUGAUUUUUGUAAUUAGGAAUAAAAACAGGAAAAUAAAUUAAAUGAAAUAAAAAGAAAAGAGUUAGAAAAAUUAGGUUGCCUCACAAUUAGCGCUUUAGUUAAUGUCUAUAGCUAGACGUAGAGGAAUGAAUUGAUGAUCACGUCACUUGUUCCCUUUGAGUUAACCACUCUUUAUUAACGUCAUAGAGCACUGUGCUUCCAAAUUUAAUGGUUGAAUUCUUCUUAUACGCCUUUCUUUUUGAAUGAAUCUUUGUAAAGAUAUAGGUUCCUUUCCAGCUAUGUUUAUAUCUCCAUCGAGCUGACUUAAAUCGUGUAUUUAACACCCAUAGUUUCCGCACUGGCUGAAAUUUUCUACGAGGAACUUGGCUGUCAAUAAGCUUUCUCUUUUCCAUAUAGAUCUUUGCAUGUUUGCAGGACUCGUAUGGCAUUUCUUUGAAUUUGAUGGGCUUUGCAGGUGCACUGUCCGUUACCGCCGCUAAAAUUUUCUGAUCAGUAAGCAGCUGUCCUGUAAUUAGAUUUGUCAGAGUAUUCAUGCAUUCUUACUGCUUAGCAGGUUGCCUUGGAGUCUCGGGAGUGUUGGAAGUAUGCCCACAAAGCCACUCAUUUGAUGUAAUAGCUUUUUGGAAUACUUAAUGUAUUAAACUUUUAUAUGUUUAAUGAAGGGCAAAGCUUAUUGUUGAUCACUAUUUAUUGUAUCAUGUGUUUAAGUAAUAAGGGAAUCCAAGGGAUGUAUUUGAUCUAAGAGACAAGUGAUCUAAGUGAGUUAGAUUAUCGAGACCAUUCUCUUAUGUUCAUUCCUAAAACGUUCCUAGCCAUAGGAUUGCCAAUUGGGUAUUGACAAUCUGCUAAGGUUAGUAUGUGUUAUGUCGACUCAAGCUUGAGUAUGACUAGUCUCAAGUCAUUUGGUGUUGGACACUAAGACAAACACAUAGGUGCUCGAAAGAGUAAUCGAGUACACUGAACAACGAUCGAAAGAGAGUUCGAACAUACAGGUCAUGUAAGAACUCGAAAGUUGCAAUAUGUAAAGUAGUCCUUUGACCUGAGGCAUCAUAGAUGUCUAAUGGUUAGGUCCUUGAUCUUUGAUCAUGUCAACGGCAUUCCAUCGGAGUGUCCACGGCAUUGUUGGGGUCAAGCUAUCUAGUCAUGUAGGCAUAUGAAUGCACAACAAGAGAUCUCUAACCUUCCAUGGUGGAAGGAGAAUACUCUAAGAUAUGAUUCGUAAGUCUUUGGCCAAAGCAAAUGAAUAUGACUUAGGAAGUUUGUUCCAAUUCAUAUUCAAAGGAAUCAUAUAGAAAAGUAUCACAUUGGAUAGUAGACAUGAAACAAACUAUCACUUAAACAAUGUGAUUAAGAGUAUUGUAUUAGAGAAGGACCGUAUUGCAUUGUAGUUGUAACUGGAUAGGUUCUCCAACCAAUUCUACUUAGCUUGGGUAACCAUGACAUACUGCUAGGUGUCACUCAUGGUUUGUGGAAGCCCUAAUGACUAGCAAACACUAAUCAUAAAGGGAGAAUUGAAAUGUGGUUUCAAUUCACAAUCGAUCGUUAAGAGUAACAAUCGCCCACUACCUCGCUAAUUGGAACCUAAUGGAUCGUACACCGAGUAAGGGCGAUAGUGAAGAAAUUAAAUGAAAUGGAUAUGCAAUUAAAUGGUUUAAUUGAAGAAUGGUCAAGAUUAAUUAAUUAGUUGAUUAAUUAUACGAAAGGUUCGUAUUGGGCUUUUAAGUUGGUUUUGGGUUUCGGGGCCCAAAAGUGUUUUGGUCCAUAAGGCCCAUUAUGUUUAAGUUGUAUGACAACUAAAACAAAAUGGGCAAUAAGCCCAAUCACAACAUAUAGGCCUGCCAUGGUGAGGAGAUGGUGAAAGUUUGCUUAAUUGCAAGUUUGUCACUCACCAAAGAAAAGUGUUAUAAAAGCAACUUUAUAGCUAUUUUCUCAUUAGGGUUUUCUUUGAGGCAAACAGGUGAAACAUUUUCUCUCUUUCUCUCUACAAAGAGGCCGGCCACUUAGGGAGAUUAAUCUAGCAAUCUCUUCUUCCCUAAGUCAUCCAUUUCAUCUUCACAGUUAACCCUUGGUGUGGAGACUUAGAGACACCAAACUUUUGGUGUUUUGGAGAUCCUUUCCUUACAUCCACAAAGUCCAAAGGAGCACAAAAGGAGAAGGAAAUCACAAGCAAUAUCCAAGGAGCUAGGAGGUGACUUGAAGGCCCUCCACUUGGGUGAAUCCCUUGUGUAAACAAGGAUGAGCUUCAAGGGUAAAGAAACACUAAAUCUUUACUUCUCUUUAAUGUUGUUAAAGAGUCUUUUGGUUCACCAUAUACUAGGCUUUGAAAGUCAUGGGUUUUAUGAAUUGUUUUUUAAUGCAUGCCUACUUUAAAGUGUUAAUAGUUUGCAUAUGUAUUCAAAUGUUCUUACUUGUUCUUAGCUAGGACAAAAUUUUUUCCUUCAAGUGGUAUCAGAGCCUAGGCCUAGUUUAUGGUGAAUCCUUUUGGGUUUUGUGAUUUUCAUGAUUUGUGAUUUAAAUGUUGUAAAUGUUACAAGCUUUGUUCUUGCUUUGAAUAUAAAUUUUGCUAGAAAAUUUAGCAUCUGAAAUGUUGUAGAUGUAUUUCAUUUAAGCAUGAAUAUUGGAACUAAAAUUUGAUGCCAUGUAUUUUGGGAAAUUCGGCCAAAUCCUUAGGGUGAUUUUUUGGGUUCAUGUUUGUCUUGUUAAAAUGGUUUUAAUGUGACUUUUGGAACCCCUAAGUACCCUAGGAUAUUAGCCUUCUUUUGAGUGGUGAAAAAUUGAGUUUUGGUGAGUGAAAACAUUCAUGGAGCUAUUAUGAGUUUUCAUGAGUGUUCUUCAAUGUUCUUGAAGUUCUUGCCAAGAACAAAAAGUUUUGAAGUUUUGAUUCAAAAGUUUUAUGUUUUUUCAUAAAGUUUUGGUUUAAUUUUGAUGGGUGAUAGUUAUUGGUGAAACAUUAAUAUUGGCUUUAAUGUUUGUCAAAACUCUUUAAUGUUUUACAAAACAUUUUCUUACAAACCAUCAAUUUCACCUUUUCCUCACCCACCAAAAUCAACUUGCAAAAACUUUUUAGAAAUUUUUUUCAUUUCUUCUCAAAUGGCCGGCCACCCCCUAGUGGGGGUACUUUUGGGGCCUUUUAUGCAAUUAUAUAAAGUUUUGAUACUUUUGUGUAUUUGCACUUUGGCCCAAAAGUUUACGUUUUUACGUUAAGGCCCAAAAACUCUAAAGGACAAAUUGUUUGAUCCUUUAAUGAUGUUUUUACAUUAUUAAAAUUUUGGGAUCUAGUUGUAAUUACAUGAAGUUGUGGACUUUUGUGUAUUUACAAAGUGACCCCAAAAGUUUUUGUAUUGUAUUUGCAUAAUGGCCCAAUUGUUGUGGUCAUAGUUUCCUUUUGGCCCAAAUAAAAUGAGAACAAAAUUGUUUUGUCUCUUUAAUGAGAAUUGGAUUUUCAUUUCAUUUAGUUCCAUUUAAAUCAAUUCUAUGGAUCCAAAAAUCAAUUGUUUAAGUUGCUUUCUUAGUUAAUGUGAUUAAUUAAGAAAAAGGGUGAUUAUGAACCAAAGGCCUCGAUAAUUGAGCUAUGUGAUUGGCCGCUUUACAUUAUGAAUGUUUGGGUUUGGUAGUGUAGAUUUGAAUGUAAUUUGAUUAAUUCAAUUUGUUGUAAAUGGACAUAAGUCCAUCAUUUGUGUUGUAAAAGGGCAUAAGCCCUUCUUAUUAUUUCAUGUAUUCCUUUUGUUUAUAUGUAUGCAAAAUGGAAUAGUUGGGUCCAACGCCCAAUAGGAAAUAACGAUUUAAUUGGAUUAAACGCGUAACUAAAAUCAACAACUAUCUACCUUAAACCCAAGGUCCAACACAAGGCUCGUGUUGGAUCAAAUCAAACGGUUCAUAAUCAUCCUAAAACCUAAUAUGACUAUAUAGUCCAUAUGAGGAUGCAAUGCAUUCGUUAGUAGUUCCAUAUAGUCUCACUUAUUUCUUCGAAAUAGUGGGAGUAUUAUAAACUACUAAUUCAUAUUAAACUUGGACCAAUGGUUGUGAUAGGCCCAAGUUCUUUUAAUAUGAUUAAAAUGAUUUUGAUGUAGCCCAAAACUACUCCCUCGUCAAACGAAUAUUAAGUUGAUAAGCGAGAGAUGUUUUGAACAUCUCUUCGUAGGCCUUCCACCGUGGUGGGCUCCAAUCGUUUGUGACUCAUGCACCGGCUUCACCCUAUCAUGGGGGAGUUCAAAGUAUGUUCUUACAUCCAGGAGGAGUCCAUAAACAUAUGAUGAGGUGAGUGUAGGCAACGAGGAUAGCCGACAUCGUAUCAUCGUGAGGCUAUUCUUGAACCCCUUCACAAACUAAGCAUGGUGGGAAUAACUUAAACUAAGUGCAAUGGAGCCGACAUCGUAUCAUCGUGAGGCAACAUUCUCUAGAGGCCAAACGGAUGGGUAAUUACAAAAUGUUGUAAAUGAAUAAUGCGUUAUUCUCUCAUCAUUAUUUUUGCUAACCAACAUCGUAUCAUCGUGAGGUGGGCUUGGUAAUGGUGAGUCUCCCAUACCCCGCUAAGAGUUCAAUAUAACUCUCGAAUUCUAUUGAGGGAUGUGGAAUUUGCCAAAAAUAGUGGGUGGUACUAUUUGAUUCAAAGACCCAAUCAAAUAGUUUUAAACAAACAAUCUAAUACGAUUUCUGUUAUGUUAUGUAGUUAACGACAUGCCUAAAAUUAUACCCACCAUUAUACUUGACAAAAAGGGCCUUAAGGGCCAACGUUUCCUUGCUUGGUAUCGACACAUUGAGAAUGUCUCAAAGGUGAAAGACAUAUUGUAUGUGCUUAAGCAAUCCCCUCCUCAUGUACCUCCUACGAAACUAGCUUUAAAGGAGGAGUGUCAAAAUUAUGUUAGACACUAUGAGGAUGACUUACAAGCCAAAUGCUUAAUCCUCACUUCACUUAGUGAGGAACUUAUGAAGCUACAUAAGCACAUGGACACUUCUUGUGGCAUGGUUGAAAGUUUGCAUAAGAUGCAUGACAUUGAGACUAUUAAUGUACGAUUCUCAAAUGUUUGUAGUCUAAUGAAUGCCAAAAUGGCAAAGGGGACAUCGGUCCAUGGACAUGGACAAAAGACGGAAAAGAUAUUUAAAGAUCUUAAAAGUUUAGGAACUUCCAUCGAUGGGAAAAUGGCCCAAGACUUUUUCCUUGCAUCUCUCUCGGAUGAUUUCACUAAGUUUAUUGUAAACUAUAAAGUGAAUAGAUUCGAUCAUGCUUUAAACGAGAUGAUUGACAUGUGCUGUAAAUUUGAAAAAGGUUUCAAAAGAGACAGUGGGAGUGAGAAUGCAAUCACAAGGAAAAGGUUGCAUAAGAAGAAGGCAAAGAAAUCCAAAGGAACAUGCUUUCAUUGUGGAAAGGAUGAACAUUGGAAGAAGAAAUACAGGGUGCGCAUUGCGAGCCUCAUGACACGAACUUUUGAAGAGACUAUUUCUGUCAUAGAGAGUUCUUUUACAGUGAGCUCCAGUUCCUGGAUAUUUGAUUCAGGCGUUAGUCAACAUAUCUGUAAUACGAUGCAGGGACUAGCAGGGAGCAGGUCACUGAGCAAUGGGGAGAUGAUUGUGCGAGUUGGGAACGCCACUAAAAUCUCGGCAAAGCAAUAGGCACCUACAUGCUUAACCUACCCUCUGGGGAAGUCCUGGAACUUAAAAAUUGUUUAUAUUUUCCUUCAUGUAUAAAGAAUUUGAUUUCCAUCUCUAAGCUUUUACGAGAUGGGCACUCAGUAUUGUUUGACAAAAUGAGUUGCACUUUAUACUUGAACGGUCGUAUUAUCUCUCAUGGUAAUAUGAUAGAGGGACUUUUUCAACUAGAGACGAAUAGUGGGAUGCACUGUAUUGCAAGCGGGAAUACCUCAAAACCCAAAAGGGCUAGAGAAGAAGUUAACCAAGAAAAGAUGUGGCAUCUUAAACUUGGUCAUGUGAACCUUGAUAAGAUUCACAAGAUGUCGAAAGACGGAUAUAUCCGCCCAUUAGGUAAUGACCAGAUGGGUACUUGUGAAUGUUGCUUGAAAGGGAAAAUGACCAAAUCUCCAUUUACUGGAAAAUGAGAGCGUGCCACUGAAAUUCUAGGGUUAAUCCACACUGACGUAUGUGGACCUAUGUCUACUACGUCGAGAGGAGGCUUCUCCUACUAUAUCACAUUCACCGACGAUCACUCUCGGUUUGGCUAUGUGUAUCUUAUGAAGUACAAGUCAGAAUCCUUUGAAAGGUUCAAAGAAUUCAAGAAUGAAGUUGAGAAGCAAACUGGGAAACAGAUAAAGAUCCUAAGAUCGGAUCGAGGGGGUGAAUAUCUGAGUAAUGAGUUCCUAGAUUAUCUCAAAGAGUGUGGAAUAAUAUCACAGUGGACUCCACCAGGAACUCCACAACUUAAUGGAGUUUCUGAAAGGAGAAAUCGGACCUUGAUGAACAUGGUUCGUUCUAUGAUGAGUUCCGCUGAUCUACCAGUAACAUUCUGGGGAUACGCUCUAUAUACAGCAGCUUACUUACUUAAUAGAGUACCUUCCAAGUCAGUUUCAGAAACGCCCUAUGAGAUAUGGCAUGGAAGAAAGCCAAGUCUUAAUCAUGUUAAGAUUUGGGGUUGUGAAGCAUAUGUCAAGAAGCUUGAAGCUACUAAGCUCGAAGCGAGAUCAGUAAGGUGCUAUUUUGUGGGAUAUCCUAGAGAAACUAUGGGAUAUGAGUUCUACCAUCCAGACGACCAGAAAGUCUUUGUCGCCAGAACUGCUAAGUUUCUAGAGGACGAAUUUGUUCUCAAAAGAACUAUAAGCAAAGAGAUGGAAAUUAAUGAGAUUAAUAAUGAACCACAAACAAGCACUCGACAAAUUGACAACCCUGUUCCUGAACCCCUAGCUCCACGUAGAUCUGAAUGGGUUAGUAAGCCACCUAAGAGGUAUGGCUUAGACAAUGACUUUGCGGAAUCGCACCUUCUAGGUGACAAUGACACAAAGGAGGACCCUAGGGACUACACUGAAGCAAUGUCCGACAUUGAUUCAAAGAGAUGGCAAGAGGCCAUGAAAUCCGAGAUGGAUUCCAUGUAUCAAAAUCAGGUCUGGACUCUUGUAGACCCUCCAGAAGGUAUUGUACCUGUUGGAAACAAAUGGGUCUUCAAGAGGAAGAUAGGCGAUGAUGGGAACGUGGAGACUUAUAAGGCUAGACUCGUAGCCAAGGGUUACAGGCAAAGAGAAGGGAUUGACUAUGAAGAAACUUUCUCUCCUGUAGCCAUGAUUAAGUCCAUUCGGAUUUUGCUUGCUAUAGCUGCGUACCAUGAUUAUGAAAUCUGGCAAAUGGACGUGAAGAUGGCCUUUCUGAAUGGCUACCUACAAGAAGAGCUCUAUAUGACUCAACCCGAAGGUUUCAUGUCCAAGUCUGAAAAGACUAAGGUAUGCAAGCUUCAAAGGUCCAUUUAUGGACUUAAGCAAGCCUCCAGGAGCUGGAACAUUCGUUUCGACACUGAAAUCAAAACGUUUGGUUUUACUCAAAACGAAGACGACAAUUGUGUUUAUCAAAAGGUCGUUGAGGAAGCAGUAGUAUUCCUAGUGUUAUAUGUAGAUGACAUAUGACUAUUCAGGAAUGACACUGCAAUACUUUCUUCUGUAAAAGUGUGGUUGUCCAAAACCUUCCACAUGAAAGAUUUAGGAGAUGCAUCUUAUGUACUUGGGAUAAAGCUUUAUCGUGAUAGAUCCAGAAAAUUAAUUGGAUUAUCCCAAUCUAUGUACAUUGAUAAGGUGCUAAGUUGGUUCCAGAUGGAACAAUCUAAGAAAGGUUUUCUUCCUGUUAGACAUGGACUUCACCUUUCUAAGUCCAUGGAACCUAAGACUCCUGAAGAGAUACGGCAAAUGAAUAUGAUUCCUUAUGCUUCCGCCAUAGGGAGUCUCAUGUAUGCCAUGAUAUGCACAAGGCCUGAUAUCGCAUAUGCUGUGAGCAUUACUAGUCGAUAUCAAUCUAACCCAGGACCAGUACACUGGGCAGCUGUCAAGACGGUCCUUAAGUACUUAAGAAGAACUAAGGACAUGUUCCUCGUAUAUGGAGGAGCAGCAGAGUUGCGAGUGGAAGCCUAUACAGACGCAGAUCUCCAAUCUGACGUCGAUGAUAGAAGUUCCAACUCCGGAUAUGUAUUCACUCUGAAUGGUGGGGCUGUCAGUUGGAAGAGCAAGAAACAGAGUGUAAUUGCUGAUUCCACAACAGAGGCUGAAUAUGUCGCUGCAGCUGAAGCCGGCAAAGAAGCGUUCUGGAUGAAGAAGUUCAUCACUGAACUUGGGGUGGUUCUAACCAUUACAUCACCAGUAACUUUGUACUGUGAUAAUAGUGGGGCGAUAGCUCAAGCCAAGGAACCCAGGGCACACCAAAAGAACAAGCAUUUUGACAGGCGCUUUAAUAUCAUUAGAAGAUAUGCUGCCGAGGGGAAAGUCAACAUCCUCAAAGUUGCUUCAGCCGAUAACGUAACAGAUCCACUGACAAAGCCAAUGUCUCAAAUCCAGCUUGACCGUCAUAUGGAGAAGAUGGGUAUUAGAUACAUGGGUAGAUGGCUUUGAGUGCAAGUGGGAGAUUGUUGGAAAUAUGCCCACAAAGCCACUCAUUUGAUGUAAUAGCUUUUUGGAAUACUUAAUGUAUUAAACUUUUAUAUGUUUAAUGAAGGGCAAAGCUUAUUGUUGAUCACUAUUUAUUGUAUCAUGUGUUUAAGUAAUAAGGGAAUCCAAGGGAUGUAUUUGAUCUAAGAGACAAGUGAUCUAAGUGAGUUAGAUUAUCGAGACCAUUCUCUUAUGUUCAUUCCUAAAACGUUCCUAGCCAUAGGAUUGCCAAUUGGGUAUUGACAAUCCGCUAAGGUUAGUAUGUGUUAUGCGACUCAAGCUUGAGUAUGACUAGUCUCAAGUCAUUUGGUGUUGGACACUAAGACAAACACAUAGGUGCUCGAAAGAGUAAUCGAGUACACUAAACAACGAUCGAAAGAGAGUUCGAACAUACAUGUCAUGUAAGAACUCGAAAGUUGCAAUAUGCAAAGUAGUCCUUUGACCUGAGGCAUCAUAGAUGUCUAAUGGUUAGGUCCUUGAUCUUUGAUCAUGUCAACGGCAUUCCUUCGGAGUGUCCACGACAUUGUUGGGGUCAAGCUAUCUAGUCAUGUAGGCAUAUGAAUGCACAACAAGGGAUCUCUAACCUUCCAUGGUGGAAGGAGAAUACUCUAAGAUAUGAUUCGUAAGUCUUUGGCCAAAGCAAAUGAAUAUGACUUAGGAAGUUUGUUCCAAUUCAUAUUCAAAGGAAUCAUAUAGAAAAGUAUCACAUUGGAUAGUAGACAUGAAACAAACUAUCACUUAAACAAUGUGAUUAAGAGUAUUGUAUUAGAGAAUGACCGUAUUGCAUUGUAGUUGUAACUGGAUAGGUUCUCCAACCAAUUCUGCUUAGCUUGGGUAACCAUGACAUACUGCUAGGUGUCACUCAUGGUUUGUGGAAGCCCUAAUGACUAGCAAACACUAAUCAUAAAGGGAGAAUUGAAAUGUGGUUUCAAUUCACAAUCGAUCCUUAAAAGUAACAAUCGCCCACUACCUCGCUAAUUGGAACGUAAUGGAUCGUACACCGAGUAAGGGCGAUAGUGAAGAAAUUAAAUGAAAUGGAUAUGCAAUUAAAUGGUUUAAUUGAAGAAUGGUCAAGAUUAAUUAAUUAGUUGAUUAAUUAUACGAAAGGUUCGUAUUGGGCUUUUAAGUUGGUUUUGGGUUUCGGGGCCCAAAAGUGUUUUGGUCCAUAAGGCCCAUUAUGUUUAAGUUGUAUGACAACUAAAACAAAAUGGGCAAUAAGCCCAAUCACAACAUAUAGGCCGGCCAUGGUGAGGGAGAUGGUGAAAGUUUGCUUAAUUGCAAGUUUGUCACACUCACCAAAGAAAAGUGUUAUAAAAGCAACUUUAUAGCUAUUUUCUCAUUAGGGUUUUCUUUGAGGCAAACAGGUGAAACAUUUUCUCUCUUUCUCUCUACAAAGAGGCUGGCCACUUAGGGAGAUUAAUCUAGCAAUCUCUUCUUCCCUAAGUCAUCCAUUUCAUCUUCACAGUUAACCCUUGGUGUGGAGACUUAGAGACACCAAACUUUUGGUGUUUUGGAGAUCCUUUCCUUAUAUCCACAAAAGUCCAAAAGGAGCACAAAAGGAGAAGGAAAUCACAAGCAAUAUCCAAGGAGCUAGGAGGUGACUUGAAGGCCCUCCACUUGGGUGAAUCCCUUGUGUAAACAAGGAUGAGCUUCAAGGGUAAAGAAACACUAAAUCUUUACUUCUCUUUAAUGUUGUUAAAGAGUCUUUUGGUUCACCAUAUACUAGGCUUUGAAAGUCAUGGGUUUUAUGAAUUGUUUUUUAAUGCAUGCCUACUUUAAAGUGUUAAUAGUUUGCAUAUGUAUUCAAAUGUUCUUACUUGUUCUUAGCUAGGACAAAAUUUUUUCCUUCAGGGAGAGUGCAUGAGUGGCACACAGACUUUUGUAGGAGCAGAUUCUAUGGAAAUUUCAAGGUCAUCAGGGGCUGUUUCCUCCUUUGGGCAUGAAUAACAGGCAGAUGUCUCCUCGGUUCCUGCACCAACCUCUUGAUCAUCAUAGCUUCUCCCACGGUUUACUGCUUGAAUAUAAAUCCUUGAUUGGUUAUUUCUAUGUACAAUUCAGUUGAUUCCAACAAUUUAGAUAAUUUGUCCUCCACCGAAAGCUCUUGUGGCACAUUAAGCCGCUCAAAAUACUGCCCAAGAUGCCGUUUCAAACUUUGAGUGUAGAACUCUGAAUGGGGAUUGUUCCAGUUCCAUUUUGAAUCGUUUCUCAUAUUUAUAUACUCCUGGACAUAAUCUGGAAAAUAUUCUCUCUCAGGACAUUGCAAAAUAUCAUGAGUAUUUGAAUUACAAAGAGCACAAACUGUAGGCUUAAAUCCAUAAUAACCCUUUUCUGCUAAUAACACCCAAAGAGGUGGUCCACCGGGUGUUAGAUUGAAUUCAGGGGGAACUGCAAAUUCCAUUGUUGCACUGCUAAAAAAGAAACAAAUUGUAACCUACCAACUUAACAAAAUCAGCAAUUAAAUAAAAAGAUAUAUACAAAAAUAAUUAACUAAGAGUUGUUGUAAUCUGAGAAAAAUAAAACAAAAAUGAAAAUUAAAUUUUUUUUUUAUAUGUAUAAACAACAAUAACUAAUUCAAAAAAUCUGAUUAGUAGGAAUUAUUUUAAAUAAUCCCCGGCAACGGCACCAUUUUCUUGAUAGGGAUUUACUACUCAUGUGAACAGGCUUAAAUCUCCUAUUUUACUUGCAAGAAUCAUAAGGUUAUUGUAGUAUAAACGGAUCUCGCCAGGUCGUCUCCACAGGGAUUAUUAAAUAAUUCAAAACUAAUCAGAUUCCAUUUAAUUAUUGUCAAGUAGAAAUUGAAGUGAUUGAUUUUAUAACCUAAUUAAAAUAAAAACGAAAUUAAUGAAUUAAAAUAAACAAUAUGCAAUAUUAGAGCUAGAGAGAAAAUAAAACAGUUUUGGGAGAAUCAAAUUAAGAAAGCACUAGGGUUCCACCAUCACCUAGCAAUCCUAUGAAUUUUUACCA